UGAGGAAUAUUGCACAAUGGGCGCAAGCCUGAUGCAGCAACGCCGCGUGCGGGACGAAGGCCUUCGGGUCGUAAACCGCUUUUCUGGGGAAAGAGCAAGGACGGUACCUCAGGAAUAAGUCUCGGCUAACUACGUGCCAGCAGCCGCGGUAAAACGUAGGAGGCGAGCGUUAUCCGGAUUUACUGGGCGUAAAGCGCACGCAGGCGGCUCUGUGAGUCGGACGUGAAAGCUCCCGGCUUAACCGGGAGAGGCCGUUCGAUACUGCGGGGCUUGAGGUAGGGAGAGGAAUGCGGAAUUCCCGGUGUAGUUGUGGAAAGCGUAGAUAUCGGGAGGAACACCUGUCGCGAAAGCGGCAUUCUGGCCCUCACCUGACGCUGAGGUGCGAAAGCGUGGGUAGCAAACAG
rnacentral:rRNA from 1 species